GUGUUGUUUUAACUCACAUACUCAUUGAGCAGACAGUGCAGUUUUCUGCUUGCCUUUGGAGCAUGUAUUCGUUCUGCCCUUAAACUUACUUUCAUAUGUUUAAAGUCCAUGUUAACUUCUCAUAGACCUAGAUUAUAGUAUCCACCCUGACUCAUUUGCUUUCUGUUGUAUUUUGUUUGUGUUGUUUACUUCCUAAUCCAUUUGCUUGGCUAUUGAGAGGGUCUUAGGCUGACCUUCACCGCCCCUGAAGCCCAGGCCAGGCUCAAAGUCUUGAUCAUCCUGCCUAGGCCUCUGAAAUGCCGGGACUGCAGAUGAGAACCACCAUGCCCUGACUCAGACCACAUCCUUUCAAUGCAUGCCAUCAAGUCCUUUUCUCACUGAGAAGAAACAUUUAGAGAAUGCUGUGGAUGCCGUUGAGUCUGUCAGACGAUCGCUUCAUCUGCAAAAAUUAACCUUGUAGCAUAAAAAAAAAAAGAACUAAAGAGAUGUUCAUAUGGAAUACAGGGUCAUUAGGAAUAGAUUUAGAUUAGAAUUCUACUGGUAACUUUGCCUGUUAGUAAUUGUAUGAUUUUGAACUUACUCUUUCUUAGCCUGUCUCUUGACCUAUAAAGUAAUGACAACUCCAGUAGCAGCUGUUUAUGGAGGGCUUGCUCUAAACCAGUCACUCUAUUAAAAUGUGUGUGUGUGUGUGUGUGCGCGCGCGCACAUUCUCCCAUCUCAUCCCUCAAGAGCUGUGUGGUAGGGACCAGACCAUUCAUUAUCUUCACCUCCCAUACGUUGUGUCCCAAAGUUCUCACAGUUAUUGUGUGGUGACGUCCGCAUCGUCCCCUCAGACACAUACCGCCUCACUGUGUCACAGUGCCUUUCUCACCACACAACUCAAAUGAGGUCAUCUCGUCUUCCAGCAGGCAGGCUUUUGUGAACAAUGUGGCACUUGUUGCUGAUUGCUUCUGUCUGCGUGGAAAGUGCUGUUGUUAGAGAAUUUAGCUUCCAGUAGGAAGAGUAGCAGCUGGUACACUUAGCCUUUCACCUUUCAUUCCACAAUGAACUUUAUCGACGUAUCACACUAUUCGCUAUUUUGAUUGCAUGUUAAAUAUUACGUGGUAUAUGAUUUAAACCAUUCCCCUAAUUUCAACCUGAAUUUCAAGUCUCUUUAAUUUUUUUUAACUUCACAUGUAAUUUCUCUAUUAUAUUUCACUUUAUUUGGGAAGGAGAGUGCAUGUCAUGGCACGUGUGGAGAUCAAAGGACAACUUGCAGAACUGUGGUCUCCUCUCCUACCACGUGGGCCCCUUGAGAUCGAUGGAAGUGCCUUUACCUGCUGAGCCAUCUUACCUUAAUUGUUUUGUUAGUUCAGGGAAGGGCACAGGUAUACUAUGGUGAGCACAGGGUGGCUAGAGGAUUAGUGGCAUCUUUUCUCUCCUUCCAGAGAUCGAACUUGGAACAUCAGGGUUUCAUAGGGAGCGCCUUUACCCACUGAGCCAUCUCACAGGCCCUGUGUUUAUAUUUAAAUGACCUCUGACAAAGCUGUAGCCUGGUGCUUUUAAGUAAUCCUUGCUUUGGCUUAUAAUCUGAUUUUAGUAAUUCUUGUGUUUUUCCUUGCAUGGCAGACAACAAGGUAUUAAGAACCACACAAAACAUUGAGUUCAGCAUAAAGAAAACCAACUCGUACCUAAAUUAGAUGUUGCACAAGGGCAGCGCUUUUUGUGGCUAUCUUAUUAGAAGAAAGCCACGAGAGAUUCUGAGAGAAGGUGAGCGUUGCAUACCAAAGGAGAAAGUCAAAGAAGAGCCUGCCUGAAAGGAGGCAGUUCCCACCUGUGGCCAUGCUCAGCACUGGUACCCAGCCGAUUUUCAGUCAGGCUUUCUGCCUUUCAACUCUACGGGCUGCUGUUUGACGGCUGCCCGCUCCCGGUCCCGCUGUUUGUCCGGGUGCACAGUUGCACAGGUUAGAUUCUCUUGCCAGUGUCACUAAGAUAGGAAUGUGAAGAGACCUUGUGUCCCAUUGAGGAGUCGGGUCCUCCAAAAGAUUGAAUGCCACCUUGUCUGAAGCCAAAGAACAGUAGUAGUCUUCCUAGUUCUUACUCUAUAACAGAAUUGAUUUCUUUUACUGCCUGAAGAAUUUUAAAAUAGUUUCUUUUAAAAAUAAUGUUGAUGCUUCCAGGUAAUUCUUUUGAGUGCUGCUUGACCAGAAGAUAAAGAAAAAAACCAAGUGUGUUUAUACCCUUGGUGGUGCAGGUGCAGGUGUGUGUUAUAUAUUGUUUCGUGGCCAGAUUUUCCUAAUGAGAAAAAAAUAUUUUUCUUAAGCAUUCCAGAUUUGGGACAUUUUGAUUCAGUAUGUAUAUGCUUUGUGUAUUUAAUUCAUAUUUACUAUAAAUUACAGAAGAAAUUGCUAAAUAGUUUAGAUGGCAUGUUUGUUUAGAGCUAAAUAUAUUAAAUUUUUAUAAGGGACAUGGUUUCCAAAAUAGCAGAUUUGGGAAAAUAAAAUAUAUGUAUAGUAAAAAUUCAAAUACUAAGCAAGCCUUGUUUUCACUAUUAGAAAGAUCAGGAAAUCUUGUCUUUAAAGAAAUGGCUAAUAUAAAACACAGUCCAAAGAUUAUUUGUGGCGAAUACAAGCACUGAGAUACAUACCUGUAUCAUACUGUGCUCUCAUGAUUCCCCAGCUAUUUGGGGCUCCUGCAACUAGCCAGAGUAGUUGAAGGGAAAGACCCUAAAUUACUAUCUGAAUUCAAAAGUAGAUAAACUACUAAAAAAUCAAGUUGUUUUUUGGACAAGAGUUUCAAGAAAUAAAGG
rnacentral:lncRNA from 1 species